rnacentral:misc_RNA from 1 species
AAGUCGUAACAAGGUUUCCGUAGGUGAACCUGCGGAAGGAUCAUUAACACAUCCUAUUUCCUAUUUCAUACCUUGAGAACAAGUACGAUACCGCGAGAUGGUUGGACGAUCAGCACUGUGGUUUUUGGGCUCUUUCUUCUCUCUUCGGGGAGAGUUGGAGUUGGUGCUACCGACCUGCUGCCGGGGCGCAACCGGGCUCUCUCUCUCUCUCUGGGAGAGUGCUGCUCGGAAGCGCGCAUAGCCGGCCACAAGCCUAUCGACGGUAAUUCAGCUUCUACCAUGGCUGGCCCUUUUUUUUUCUUUCAAUAAACCUGCAGCUUCUUACUGAUUUUCGGCUUUGGAUCGAGAGGAGCAAUCCUUUCUCUGAGGUCUUCGGAUUCGUCAAACAAUCCAAAACACAACUCUUAACAGCGGAUAUCUCGGUUCUC